rnacentral:rRNA from 1 species
UACGGGGGGGGGCAAGCGUUUGUUCGGAAUUACUGGGCGUAAAGGGCGAGUAGGUGGCCAUCUAAGUCAGACAUGAAAUCCCCCGGCUUAACCUGGGAACUGCGUCUGAUACUGGACGGCUUGAGUAUGGGAGAGGAACGUAGAAUUCCAGGUGUAGCGGUGAAAUGCGUAGAUAUCUGGAGGAACACCGGUGGCGAAGGCGGCAUCCUGGACCAACACUGACGCUGAGGAGCGAAAGCCAGGGGAGCAAACGGG